rnacentral:rRNA from 1 species
GAUGAACGCUAGCUACAGGCUUAACACAUGCAAGUCGAGCGGAAACGCCAUCGAAAGCUUGCUUUUGAUGGGCGUCGACCGGCGCACGGGUGAGUAACGCGUAUCCAACCUGCCCAUCACUUGGGAAUAACCUUGCGAAAGUAAGACUAAUACCCAAUGAUAUCCCACGAAGGCAUCGGAAUGGGAUUAAAGAUUUAUCGGUGAUGGGUGGGGAUGCGUCUGAUUAGCUUGUUGGCGGGGAACGGUCCGACAAGGGCACGAUCAGGAAGGGUUCCGAGAGGAAGGUGCCCGACAUUGGAACUGGGACACGGUCCAAACUCCUACGGGAGGCAGCAGUGAGGGAGAUAGGAGAAGGGGAGAGAGCCUGAUCCAGCCAAGUAGGGUGCAGGAAGGCGGCCCUAUGGGUUGUAACCUGCUUUUAGAAGGGAAUAAAGUGGGUCACGGGUGACUUUUUGAAUGUACCUUAUAAAUAAGGACCGGCUAAUUCCGUG